rnacentral:rRNA from 1 species
UUUAUGGAGAGUUUGAUCCUGGCUCAGGAUGAACGCUGGCGGCGUGCCUAAUACAUGCAAGUCGAGCGAACGGACGAGAAGCUUGCUUCUCUGAUGUUAGCGGCGGACGGGUGAGUAACACGUGGAUAACCUACCUAUAAGACUGGGAUAACUUCGGGAAACCGGAGCUAAUACCGGAUAAUAUUUUGAACCGCAUGGUUCAAAAGUGAAAGACGGUCUUGCUGUCACUUAUAGAUGGAUCCGCGCUGCAUUAGCUAGUUGGUAAGGUAACGGCUUACCAAGGCAACGAUGCAUAGCCGACCUGAGAGGGUGAUCGGCCACACUGGAACUGAGACACGGUCCAGACUCCUACGGGAGGCAGCAGUAGGGAAUCUUCCGCAAUGGGCGAAAGCCUGACGGAGCAACGCCGCGUGAGUGAUGAAGGUCUUCGGAUCGUAAAACUCUGUUAUUAGGGAAGAACAUAUGUGUAAGUAACUGUGCACAUCUUGACGGUACCUAAUCAGAAAGCCACGGCUAACUACGUGCCAGCAGCCGCGGUAAUACGUAGGUGGCAAGCGUUAUCCGGAAUUAUUGGGCGUAAAGCGCGCGUAGGCGGUUUUUUAAGUCUGAUGUGAAAGCCCACGGCUCAACCGUGGAGGGUCAUUGGAAACUGGAAAACUUGAGUGCAGAAGAGGAAAGUGGAAUUCCAUGUGUAGCGGUGAAAUGCGCAGAGAUAUGGAGGAACACCAGUGGCGAAGGCGACUUUCUGGUCUGUAACUGACGCUGAUGUGCGAAAGCGUGGGGAUCAAACAGGAUUAGAUACCCUGGUAGUCCACGCCGUAAACGAUGAGUGCUAAGUGUUAGGGGGUUUCCGCCCCUUAGUGCUGCAGCUAACGCAUUAAGCACUCCGCCUGGGGAGUACGACCGCAAGGUUGAAACUCAAAGGAAUUGACGGGGACCCGCACAAGCGGUGGAGCAUGUGGUUUAAUUCGAAGCAACGCGAAGAACCUUACCAAAUCUUGACAUCCUUUGACAACUCUAGAGAUAGAGCUUUCCCCUUCGGGGACAAAGUGACAGGUGGUGCAUGGUUGUCGUCAGCUCGUGUCGUGAGAUGUUGGGUUAAGUCCCGCAACGAGCGCAACCCUUAAGCUUAGUUGCCAUCAUUAAGUUGGGCACUCUAAGUUGACUGCCGGUGACAAACCGGAGGAAGGUGGGGAUGACGUCAAAUCAUCACGCCCCUUAUGAUUUGGGCUACACACGUGCUACAAUGGACAAUACAAAGGGCAGCGAAACCGUGAGGUCAAGCAAAUCCCAUAAAGUUGUUCUCAGUUCGGAUUGUAGUCUGCAACUCGACUACAUGAAGCUGGAAUCGCUAGUAAUCGUAGAUCAGCAUGCUACGGUGAAUACGUUCCCGGGUCUUGUACACACCGCCCGUCACACCACGAGAGUUUGUAACACCCGAAGCCGGUGGAGUAACCUUUUAGGAGCUAGCCGUCGAAGGUGGGACAAAUGAUUGGGGUGAAGUCGUAACAAGGUAGCCGUAUCGGAAGGUGCGGCUGGAUCACCUCCUUUCU